AUGACAAAUAACGGUCGUUUUGACAGAGUCACCGAUUUUUCUUCUCAUUGUUUUGUCCUCCCUCUCAUCUUCUCUCUCUCUUUUCGCUGUUAUUUGGCGAUGAGGAUUGCUCGUGAAGAUCUCUGUUCUUCUUCUGGAUUCGAAGUCUAUCUUAUAAGGUAUCUUCGAAGAUCCCUGCUUUAUCUAUCCACCUUCAUGUGCGUGUGUUUGCUUCUUUGAGCUUUUCAGAGUUGUUCAGAUUUUUUUGAGGGUUUGUUGGCAUCCUUUCUUCUUGUUCUCGAUUAGGGUUUUCUGAAUUAUUCUCUUUCUUUUUAAUGAUUGAUAGAAAUUUUUUCAUUCUUAUGAUAGAAAUGGUCAAUAAAUUCUUCCUUUUUGGAUUGAUUUUUGAAGUGAAUGGAUAAAGUAUAGUUCCGCUGAGAUGUGUCUAGGGUUUAUUGUGGGAAAAUAUCUAUAUGGGUAUGUUGUAAGGUGCUUUUGUUGACCGUGGAGGGGUCUGAAAAUCCUAAGCACGCACACGAGAAACAAAAGAUUCCUAAGAGUGGGGAAAGGGUUAAAAUGGGAGAAGAUCUGCUUACAAGUCUAUCCAUGGAGAAUCAUCACCCAUCCACACUGUUGUCCAUGGAUUCAAGUGCAAUCUCUCAUGAGGAAUUGGACAGAGAGAUGAAUCGACAGGUAAUCUUAUCUCGACCGCCUGAUAUUAAUCUUCCCCUGUCGGCUGAGCGUAGUCCUCCUUCUCAAUCAUGGAAUCCUGACCCUUUUGAUAUGCUAGAGGUUGGCCUUGGGCCUCAAAUUAAUGAGCCUGAUGUCCUCCUUAAUCUCCCUAAGACAGGGCGGAAAUUUGCCAAGAGGUUGGAUAGUAUAUGGGGUGCUUGGUUUUUCUUUACUUAUUACUACAAGCCUGUUUUGAAUGAGAAAUCAAAAAGCAAGGUUAUCCGGGACAGUAAUGGGGUUUCUGGGUUUGAUAAGUUAGAUCUCAAUCUUGACUCUUUCUUAGUUCAGCAUGAUAUGGAGAACAUGUACAUGUGGGUUUUUAAGGAGAGGCCGGAGAAUGCCCUAGGUAAGAUGCAGCUGAGGAGUUACAUGAAUGGGCACUCCCGCCAGGGUGAGCGUCCAUUUCCGUUUAGUGCUGAUAAGGGUUUUGUCCGAUCUCACAGGAUGCAGCGGAAGCAUUACAAAGGGCUUUCCAAUCCUCAGUGCGUACAUGGAAUUGAGAUUGUUCGCUCACCCAAUCUGAUGGGUAUGGAUGAGGAGGAACAGAAGAGAUGGAUGGAACUUACUGGUAGGGAACUGAACUUCUCAGUCCCACCCGAAGCUAGCGAGUUUUCUUCAUGGAGGAACCUACCUAACACAGAGUUUGAGCUUGAGAGGCCCCUUCCUCCAUUAAAAAGUAACCCACAUCCCAAUCAAAGGAAAUUGCUUAAUGGGUCUGGUCUGAAUUUAUCGACUAGGCCAUCCAACCAUGUCAAUGGCAGUGGAAUGGAUCUCUCUCCAGUAUGCAAUAAGAGGAGGAAGGACUUCUUCCCGCAUGGAAGUGAUGAAGAUUGUCUACUUAUUAAUUCUCAUUCUGAUAGAGUCCAGGAUACAGAGAUGCAUGCAGUUGAACCUCAUUGGUUGAAUGAGUUUAGUGGAGUAAUGAGGAACGUUUAUGGGCCUGUUACGGCGGCAAAGACCAUCUAUGAGGAUGAAGAAGGAUAUCUAAUAAUUGUCAGUUUGCCUUUUGCGGAUCUUCAAAGGGUUAAAGUAACUUGGUGGAACACUCUUACUCAUGGUGUUGUGAAGAUAUCAUCUGUGAGCACAGCCUGCAUGCCAUUCAUCCAGAGAAAAGACAGAACAUUCAAGCUUACUGAUCCGUCUCCAGAGCACUGCCCUCCAGGAGAGUUUAAAAGGGAAAUCCCACUUGCAACCCGGAUUCCGGAUGAUGCCAAGCUAGAAGCAUAUGGUGAUGAAACAGGGACCGUUCUUGAGAUCAUGGUGCCAAAACACCGUGUGGGACCAGAAGAACAUGAGGUUCGCGUUUGCCUUCGCCCUCACCUUGGAGCAAAUGAGCUUUUGUUGUCUUGAAAGAGGCAUUAAAUGGAGAAAUUGUUGGAUUGCUCAUCAGCUUCCAGGUUGAAUUUCGCAGGUUGGGGUUUUUGGAGACCUUGGAUAUUAAUUUCAAGAGAAUUUUUUUGUGCACUUUAUAAUUUGUGAUGCAUAAAGACUGGAGAAACAUGUGAUAGACUAAACUUUAGAAAGGAAGAAGAGGAAAGGGGGUGGGUGGGGGAAAAGAAAUGAUAGGCUUUUUCAUUUGCUUUAGCACUGUUUUGUGAAGUCCCAACUUCAUGGAUAAAUAAACAAGUUGGUUCGAUGAGUUAUGCAAUUGUAUUUUGUAGUUUAAAUGCAUGUGGGUAUGUGGUUGUAAUGAUGGUGUGAUUAUGAGAUUUAACUUAUUAUUAUGAGGUUGCUGUUGUAAAUGGAUUAUUCUGUAAUUUUGUUAAGCAGAUGAAUCCACAAAGUUAUUGAAUUGUCUACCAAGUUCUUUGGGUUUUAA